rnacentral:rRNA from 1 species
UACGAAGGGGGCUAGCGUUGCUCGGAAUCACUGGGCGUAAAGCGCGUGUAGGCGGGCUAGUAAGUCGGACGUGAAAUCCCUGAGCUCAACUCAGGAACUGCAUCCGAAACUAUUAGCCUUGAGUGGUGGAGAGGGAAGCAGAAUUCCUGGUGUAGAGGUGAAAUUCGUAGAUAUCAGGAGGAACACCGGUGGCGAAGGCGGCUUCCUGGACACUAACUGACGCUGAGACGCGAAAGCGUGGGGAGCAAACAGG